CCAGUUCUGACAUGGUGAAUUGCGGUUC
rnacentral:sRNA from 1 species